rnacentral:rRNA from 1 species
UUCGCAAUGCCCGAAAGGGUGACGACGCGACGCCGUGUGUGGGAGGAAGGCCUUCGGGUUGUAAACCACUUUUAGGGGGCAUGAGGGAAGUGGAGUUAACAGCUCCGCGACCUGACGUCAACCUCAGAAUAAGCUGCGGCUAACUACGUGCCAGCAGCCGCGGUAAGACGUAGGCAGCGAGCGUUGUUCGGUGUUACUGGGCUUAAAGGGCGCGUAGGCGGCUCGUUAUGUCGGUUGUGAAAUACCUCGGCUCAACCGAGGAACUGCUUCCGAAACUAACGGGCUAGAGGCAUUUAAGGGUGACUGGAACUCUUGGUGGAGCGGUGAUAUGCGUAGAUAUCAAGAGGAACGCCGGAGGUGAAAGCGGUGCACUGGUGGAUUUCUGACGCUGAGGUGCGAAAGCCAGGGGAGCAAACGGGAUUAGAUACCCCGGUAGUCCUGGCUGUAAACGAUGGGCACUAAGUAGAGGGGUUUU